GACGAAGGAUGCAAGCGUUAUCCGGAUUCAUUGGGUUUAAAGGGAGCGUAGGUGGCCUUAUAAGUCAGUGGUGAAAUCUCUGGGCUUAAACCCCAGGAAAUUGCCCAUUGAUACUGUAGGGCUUGAGUAUAGAUGCCGUUGGCGGAAUAUGACAUGUAGUGGUGAAAUACAUAGAGAUGUCAUAGAACACCGAUUGCGAAGGCAGCUAACGAAACUAUAACUGACACUGAGGCUCGAAAGUGUGGGGAGUCAAACAGG
rnacentral:rRNA from 1 species